rnacentral:rRNA from 1 species
GCACGGUGGAUGCCUUGGCACUAGAAGCCGAUGAAGGACGUUACUAACGACGAUAUGCUUUGGGGAGCUGUAAGUAAGCUUUGAUCCAGAGAUUUCCGAAUGGGGAAACCCAGCAUGAGUUAUGUCAUGUUAUCGAUAUGUGAAUACAUAGCAUAUCAGAAGGCACACCCGGAGAACUGAAACAUCUUAGUACCCGGAGGAAGAGAAAGAAAAUUCGAUUCCCUUAGUAGCGGCGAGCGAAACGGGAAGAGCCCAAACCAACAAGCUUGCUUGUUGGGGUUGUAGGACACUCUAUACGGAGUUACAAAGGACGACAUUAGACGAAUCAUCUGGAAAGAUGAAUCAAAGAAGGUAAUAAUCCUGUAGUCGAAAAUGUUGU